AUACUUACCCGGAUGGGGUUAAAUGGAUGAUCAACAAGGCUCAUGACCUAGGUUUGCAAUCUCCAUUGCACUCAGGAGGGAUGCUCGGCUAAGGUCCACCCACGUGGUGGAGCCUACGUCAUAAUUUUUGGAAGUGGGGGCUUGCGUUCCCGUGGCCCCACA